rnacentral:rRNA from 1 species
AACGAACGCUGGCGGCAUGCCUAACACAUGCAAGUCGAACGAGACCUUCGGGUCUAGUGGCGCACGGGUGCGUAACGCGUGGGAACCUGCCCUUAGGUUCGGAAUAACUCCCCGAAAGGGGUGCUAAUACCGGAUAAUGUCUUCGGACCAAAGAUUUAUCGCCUUUGGAUGGGCCCGCGUUGGAUUAGCUAGUUGGUAGGGUAAAAGCCUACCAAGGCGACGAUGCAUAGCUGGUCUGAGAGGAUGCUCAGCCACACUGGGACUGAGACACGGCCCAGACUGCUACGGGAGGGAGCAGUGGGGAAUAUUGGACGAGGGGCGAAAGCCUGAUACAGCAAUGCCGCGGGAGUGAUGAAGGCCUUAGGGUUGUAAAGCUCUUUUACCCGGGAUGAUAAUGACAGUACCGGGAGAAUAAGCUCCGGCUAACUACGUG